rnacentral:rRNA from 1 species
CGGGCGGACGGGUGAGUAACGCGUGGGUAACCUGCCUCAUACAGGGGGAUAACAGUUAGAAAUGACUGCUAAUACCGCAUAAGACCACAGCACUGCAUGGUGCAGUGGUAAAAACUCCGGUGGUAUGAGAUGGACCCGCGUCUGAUUAGUUAGUUGGCGGGGUAACGGCCCACCAAGGCGACGAUCAGUAGCCGGCCUGAGAGGGUGACCGGCCACAUUGGGACUGAGACACGGCCCAAACUCCUACGGGAGGCAGCAG